rnacentral:rRNA from 1 species
CGUUGAGGCGGUUCUGUAAGUUGGGCGUGAAAGCUCUCGGCUCAACCGGGAGAGGCCGUUCAAUACUGCAGGGCUUGAGGACAGCAGAGGGGGGUGGAAUUCCCGGUGUAGUGGUGAAAUGCGCAGAUACCGGGAGGAACACCAGUGGCGAAGGCGGCCCCCUGGGCUGUUCCUGACGCUGAAUGCGAAAGCUAGGGGAGCAAACG